rnacentral:rRNA from 1 species
UCUGAUGAUUCCAUGAUACUUGACGGAUCGCACGGCCCUCGUGCCGGCGACGCCUCAUUCAAAUUUCUGCCCUAUCAACUUUCGAUGGCUAUGAUAUUGGCCUACGACGGUGGUGACGGGUGACGGAGAAUUAGGGUUCGAUUCCAGAUAGUAUCCUGAUAAACGGCUACCACAUCCAAGGAUGGCAGCAAGCACGCAAAUUCCCCAAUCCUGACAUGGGGAUGUAGUGACAAUAAAUAACUAUACCGUUCCCCUUCGAUUCUGGUAAUUUGAAUGAUUACCCUCUUAAAUCCCUUAACGAGGAUCAACUUAAGACCCAGCCUCGUUCCUCAUCCCCCUUAAUUCCAUCUCCCAUAUCGUAUCCUUCAUUUUUAUCUCUCUGUAACAUUUAGCUUCUCCCGCCAUACUACCGUUCUCUCUUCCCCUGAUACCACACUUACACUUUCCCUACCUCUUCGUACUCCAAAUCUCCUUUUGCUUUCUCUUUU